UGGCCACUCUGCUAAGCUAACAUUUGCCUUGCAGAAAUGGAGAUCCUAACCUAUGUCAACACAGAGAAUAGGUGCUGGGACUCCCUGGAUCCACCCCACUGCCCCUGACCCACUUCCUGCAGUCACUUUGUCCCAACAAACCACUCCACAGAGACAUGGCACUGUCACCGCGCCCUGCCCCCCCCCCCCCCCCCCCCCCGCCGUGGGCACGCAGAGGCAAAGGUGCUGGGGUCCGUCCCCUCCCCCUCCUGCUAAGCCUCUUGAGUGGAGGCCUUCCGGUUCUUGGCCAUGUGGGGCCCGGUGUGGAGGAGAGGGCUCUGGGCCCACCAUCGGUCGUGGAGGCUGGGGCUCUGAGUCACAGGCCCUCGGCCUCAAGGCCCAGCCUGCUACCUGAUGCUGUGUGCCUUCUGUCAGCUUCCUUGACCUCCCUGACCGUCACGUCCUCGGCAACCUGGAGUCCAGGCGGGGGAGCACCUAGACAACUUGGGGGCCAAAAGGAGAUGCUGUUGAUGCUUAAACCAGAGCAACAGGCACGAACCGCACUGUCCUGGGUGUAGGGUGAUUCUGGCUGCAGAACGGGCAGGGGCCCGAGCCGUGGGGGGGCGCACUGCCAUGACAGCUGUUGCUGUUUCUGAGGAAGCGUCCCUCCCUCUGCCUGCAGUGUCACUCAUUCACUCCUUCCUCCGUAUCCCCCCAGGCUCCCGGAGGCUGGAGACGCAUGCCACCACCUCCCUGAAGCCCCCCCCCCCCCCCCGCCAUGGGGGCUGGCGUCAGCUGCUGCACUUUCCAGAGGGCAAGGUUGUUAGUUCCUCAUGAUGACCGGAGCUGUAGUCACGAGACCCCGAGCACACAGGACACAGGGCUGCAGGCCUGCCAGGACGAUGGGCGGAGCCUAUGCCAGGACAAUGGGCGGAGCCUCUGCCAGGGAACCCGGCUGUCCUUUGCAUCAUUGCAGCACCCUGUCACACUGCGUUUGCAGGAUCACGAGAGUCAGCCCCUCCCAGGAGCCUGCGUUGUCCAGGGAGGACUGGCACCGAGCGCCCAGAGGGGGCUGAGCUGAGCUGGGACCUAAGUGCCUAUGAGAGGCCAGAUGCCAACAAGGUGCAACUCUGAAUCAUCCUUGAGACCCUGGAAAAGUGCUCCCCGCCCCCGCUCUCAAACAGGCAGUCGUGAAGGAGAACCAUCCUUGAGGAAGCGUCAGGAGGGCAGAAACCCUCUCACAUUUGGCCACAUGGCCCAGCCAAGGUGCCACGUGACAUGAACCAUCACAGUGUCAUCGAUAUUUUGUUCAUCCGCACAUCAGCUGACCGGCGUUCGGGCUGCUCCCACCUCUCGGCAGCUGUGAGCAGUGCUGCUGGGAACAUGUGCAUGUCUGGA